rnacentral:misc_RNA from 1 species
GGUUAAUUCAUUAAUGUAUUUUCAAAGAGAAAUAUGCAUUUCACUAUAUAAUGAUAAUACAUUUGUAGUCUUAAUUUAAUGGUAAAUGUACCCUUAAUCAUACAACAUUCAAGUUCGAACUCUUCUCUAUUAGUAAGUUUUGACUUAAUGACAUUAGAGUCUAUGCAAAGCUAUGAUAAAAUCUAAAUCGCCUUCACUUAAAGAGUCUUAUCAAGAAAUAUUGUUGAGGUUUCCACAGUCAAAAUCAGCUCUCUCCAAUAAAACUCCAGCAAGAAAUUUUACCAAAAUUCUAUCCCUUAAGAAGUUCAAUAAUUUUCCAUCACUUUGUUGUAUAAACCCAACCAAAUAAGCAGUAGUUAUGAGUUGAAAGCUUCUCCAUCUCCUCUGUGAUGCAUAAUUUUUCAACCCAAUUUCAAUUCUCUUAAAUUCUUCCUUAUCUCUCUCUUCAUUUGCUACAAUCACUUGUUUUUUCAAAGCCUGAGCCAGGCACCUAGCUAAGACUAUGCCAUCUUCCAAGGCAGCACAGCCACCCUGGCCAAUAUCUGGUGUCAUGGGAUGGAGAGCAUCUCCA